CCGAGAAGUGGGGGAUAGCUCGCCGAAAGGCGAAUUAAUACCGCAUAUGAUCAGCUAGGACAUCUUAGCGACAUCAAAGCCGGGGCAACCUGGCGCUUCUUGAUGACCCCGCGGCCUAUCAGCUAGUUGGUGAGGUAACGGCUCACCAAGGCUAUGACGGGUAGCUGGUCUGAGAGGACGACCAGUCACACUGGAACUGAGACACGGUCCAG
rnacentral:rRNA from 1 species